GAGGGCACAGCUCAGUGGUAGAGCAUGUGCUUAGCACGCACGAGGUCCUGGGUUCAAUCCCUGCUACCUCCA
rnacentral:tRNA from 1 species